rnacentral:rRNA from 1 species
UACGUAGGGUGCGAGCGUUUGUCCGGAAUUAUUGGGCGUAAAGAGCUCGUAGGCGGUCUGUCGCGUCGAAUGUGAAAACCCGGGACUCAACUCCGGGCCUGCAUUCGAUACGGGCAGGCUAGAGUUCGGUAGGGGAGACUGGAAUUCCUGGUGUAGCGGUGAAAUGCGCAGAUAUCAGGAGGAACACCGGUGGCGAAGGCGGGUCUCUGGGCCGAUACUGACGCUGAGGAGCGAAAGCGUGGGGAGCGAACAGG